CACGCCCACGCCGCCUCCGCAACGCCACCUGUGCUGCCCGCCUCCUCCCCCACCUCCACCGCCGCCCCUGCCAGCACCCUACGGCGUGGUUGGCAGCCCGGCGCGGCCCGUCCAGCCGCAGUCCGUUCUCGCUACGAAACGAGAGUUUAGUUCGGCCGUGCGUCGCCUCGCGGCUUUCCUGGGGCCGGACAGCCCGCCGAUACAUGAGCCAGACCUACGUGCGCUGCUGCAGCAGCCGCGGCUGUUGGAGCCACCACCCACAUCUUCACACGCUCGUCGGUAGCUGAGCCAGCUGCUGCCUCUGGCGUCGACAAACGCCUGUUCAUACCGUCCCAGGAAGUGCUGCGUGCAGUGAUGAUGGCGGACAGGAGGGGCGCUACGAAAGUAGUGUGCGACAAGUUGGGCGCUUGGGUUGAACGGGAAGCGUUAUCGGAUGGCCGAGGCGCCUAAGGCGACCACUGGAGUAGAGGAGAAAUCCGGGUUCGAGUCCCUGUCCGGCAACUGGACGCAGCCAGGCGUUCAAAAUUAAUAACGGAAACGCAGCAAUAGUGUCUUCUUGAUACAAACCUUCCUUCGAGGGACGAACAACUCCUGUUAAAAGAUCCCGGUGGCCGGACCAGGUGAAAAGUCGCUCCUGUUGUACCUGAGUGGGAGGCUGCCGGCCUGGCCUGGCAUUGCAGUGGUGCCUUUGCACGUUCUCUGGUGCAAAGCGGUGCACCGCAGUCAAGUCAACGAACUGCAGUCUCGUACCACACCUGCCUGUGCAAACUAACUUUUCUAUCGUUUCAAACGUUUAAAAUCUAAUCAUAAGAUGAAGGUAAAAUGAAAAAUAAAACCUGCCUUGUAUUUUA